rnacentral:rRNA from 1 species
CUGUAAGCCUGUGAAGGUGUGCUGUGAGGCAUGCUGGAGGUAUCAGAAGUGCGAAUGCUGACAUAAGUAACGAUAAAGCGGGUGAAAAGCCCGCUCGCCGGAAGACCAAGGGUUCCUGUCCAACGUUAAUCGGGGCAGGGUGAGUCGACCCCUAAGGCGAGGCCGAAAGGCGUAGUCGAUGGGAAACAGGUUAAUAUUCCUGUACUUGGUGUUACUGCGAAGGGGGGACGGAGAAGGCUAUGUUGGCCGGGCGACGGUUGUCCCGGUUUAAGCGUGUAGGCUGGUUUUCCAGGCAAAUCCGGAAAAUCAAGGCUGAGGCGUGAUGACGAGGCACUACGGUGCUGAAGCAACAAAUGCCCUGCUUCCAGGAAAAGCCUCUAAGCAUCAGGUAACAUCAAAUCGUACCCCAAACCGACACAGGUGGUCAGGUAGAGAAUACCAAGGCGCUUGAGAGAACUCGGGUGAAGGAACUAGGCAAAAUGGUGCCGUAACUUCGGGAGAAGGCACGCUGAUAUGUAGGUGAAGUCCCUUGCGGAUGGAGCUGAAAUCAGUCGAAGAUACCAGCUGGCUGCAACUGUUUAUUAAAAACACAGCACUGUGCAAACACGAAAGUGGACGUAUACGGUGUGACGCCUGCCCGGUGC